ensembl:lncRNA
AUGCUAAAUAGAGAGGAAGCAAGAACAAUGGAUAACAUUCCUCAAAUAAUGGGACUUCUAGACGGGACACAUAUUCCCCUCCUUCCUCCUUCAGAUGGGAACAAAGAGUUCGUAAACAGGAAAGGCUGGCCUUCUUACAUUCUACAAGCUGUUGUGGAUCACAGAUCAUGAGGAAAAAACAGAGGACACAACAUCAGUCCAGUCCAAAACUUCUGAGUAAAAGAAAAUGCAGGCCAAACCCUAAGUUUGUUGAUGAGGAGCCCAAUAAUGGUGGACCAUCUGAUGAGGAGCCCAAUAAUGGUGGACCAUCUAGCCCCAAAAUGUUACAAUAAUUAUUAUUUUUUUUUUAAUAGUGGGCAGCCAAAAAUUGCCCAAAAAGGUUUGAUAAAAAUUACUUAUAACUCUGCAAAUUAAUGACUACAUUUAGAAUUUAAAUACUUCAAAUGAAUCAUCCAAAGUUAAGAGUACCUAAUAAUCUACAAUUUUCCCUAGAUCUUGACAGGAUUAGUCAUUUUUCACAGCCAAGUGCAAACAGUCUGUCAGAGUUAUGUUAAUCAGCCUGUUUAUACCUAUGGUACAUAAAGCUUUUAUACAUGUCUACAUCUGUUUACCUGUUUUAAUGCCAUCAGCUAUUAUCCACUCUGCUAUUAUUUCUGAGCUUACUGUUUUGGGUAAGCUGAUCUUCAUUUUCUGCUAAAGAAAUCUCAUCAUUCAACAAAUUUGGCUGAAGCUGUUGUGGUCUGAUUCCCUGUAUACUCUCUGGUUCAGUCUGUAAUUCCUUAAAUAAAGCUGAAUAAUUAGACAGCUUGAAAUUGUCCGAACUGUAGUACAUACUCUGCCCCUGUUAAUUUGGAAAAGA